AAACUUUACAAUGCUGGCAACAGCGAUAAGGGAACCUCGAGUGCCAGGUUACAAAUCUGGCUGUCGAGAUGCCUAAAAAGCAUUUCAUAGCAAGGGCCGGGCAAGACCGGUGCCAGCCGCCGCGGUAACACCGGCGGCUCGAGUGGUAACCGUUAUUAUUGGGUCUAAAGGGUCUGUAGCCGGCCGGAUAAGUCUCUUGAGAAAUCUGGCAGCUUAACUGUCAGGCUUUCAGGAGAUACUGUCUGGCUCGAGGCCGGGAGAGGUGAGAGGUACUUCAGGGGUAGGGGUGAAAUCUUGUAAUCCUUGAAGGACCACCAGUGGCGAAGGCGUCUCACCAGAACGGACCUGACGGCAAGGGACGAAAGCUAGGGGCACGAACCGGA
rnacentral:rRNA from 1 species